rnacentral:tRNA from 1 species
UAGCUCAGUCGGGAGAGCAUCUGCCUUACAAGCAGAGGGUCAUAGGUUCGAGUCCUAU